rnacentral:rRNA from 1 species
GAUGAACGCUGGCGGCGUGCUUAACACAUGCAAGUCGAACGAAGCAUUUGCGACAGAUUUUUUCGGAAUGAAGUUGCUUAUGACUGAGUGGCGGACGGGUGAGUAACGCGUGGGUAACCUGCCUUGUACUGGGGGAUAGCAGCUGGAAACGGCUGGUAAUACCGCAUAGGCGCACAAUGUUGCAUGACAUGGUGUGAAAAACUCCGGUGGUAUAAGAUGGACCCGCGUCUGAUUAGCUAGUUGGUGAGAUAACAGCCCACCAAGGCGACGAUCAGUAGCCGACCUGGGAGGGUGACCGGCCACAUUGGGACUGAGACACGGCCCAGACUCCUACGGGAGGCAGCAGUGGGGAAUAUUGCACAAUGGAGGAAACUCUGAUGCAGCGACGCCGCGUGAGUGAAGAAGUAAUUCGUUAUGUAAAGCUCUAUCAGCAGGGAAGAUAGUGACGGUACCUGACGAAGAAGCACCGGCUAAAUACGUG